rnacentral:rRNA from 1 species
ACGAACGCUGGCGGCGUGCCUAAUACAUGCAAGUCGAGCGGACCAAAGAGGAGCUUGCUCCUGGANGGUUAGCGGCGAACGGGUGAGUAACACGUGGGCAACCUGCCUGUAAGACUGGGAUAACAUCGAGAAAUCGGUGCUAAUACCGGAUAAUAAAAAGAACUGCAUGGUUCUUUUUUGAAAGAUGGUNUUCGGCUAUCACUUACAGAUGGGCCCGCGGCGCAUUAGCUAGUUGGUGGGGUAACGGCUCACCAAGGCGACGAUGCGUAGCCGACCUGAGAGGGUGAUCGGCCACACUGGGACUGAGACACGGCCCAGACUCCUACGGGAG